rnacentral:lncRNA from 1 species
GGUGUUUUUAAGUUGAAGGGGGUACAUGUAACUUUUGAUUGAGAUAAUAGAAUCAUUAUUAACAUAAAGUUGUGUUCGGUAGAGUGUUAAAACUAAGUAGAAAAAUUAUUUUUAUUUAUGAAUAUCCUAUUUACAAAAUUAAAGCUUGUAUGCAAUCAUGCAAUUUAUUUUCGAAUUUUGAUCAAUAAGUAUUUUUUUUUAAGUUAAUGGAGUAAUUUUUUUA